GAUGAACGCUGGCGGCGUGCCUAAUACAUGCAAGUCGAGCGAACAGACGAGGAGCUUGCUCCUCUGACGUUAGCGGCGGACGGGUGAGUAACACGUGGAUAACCUACCUAUAAGACUGGGAUAACUUCGGGAAACCGGAGCUAAUACCGGAUAAUAUAUUGAACCGCAUGGUUCAAUAGUGAAAGACGAUUUUGCUGUCACUUAUAGAUGGAUCCGCGCCGCAUUAGCUAGUUGGUAAGGUAACGGCUUACCAAGGCAACGAUGCGUAGCCGACCUGAGAGGGUGAUCGGCCACACUGGAACUGAGCCACGGUCCAGACUCCUACGGGAGGCAGCAGUAGGGAAUCUUCCGCAAUGGGCGAAAGCCUGACGGAGCAACGCCGCGUGAGUGAUGAAGGUCUUCGGAUCGUAAAACUCUGUUAUUAGGGAAGAACAAAUGUGUAAGUAACUAUGCACGUCUUGACGGUACCUAAUCAGAAAGCCACGGCUAACUACGUG
rnacentral:rRNA from 1 species